CUCGAGCGCUUGGAGCCUUUUGGAUUACCUGUCUGGAAUUCUACGUACACUCCUGGACUGAGCAAUCUUCACCUUUUACUGGAUCUGUGCUACAUUACGACAAGCGUACUUCUCCUGCAGACCUGUCCACCCUCCUACGUAACUCCUGCUUCACCUUCCGCUCGCUUUCCACAGAAAGCACGUUUCGCUGUGAGCUCUACUUCAGUUCUCCUAAACCCCGUCUCCCCUGGCGGAUUCCGUUCACUCUCUAUUGGAGAGACCAGAUCCCUGUCAUCCCUGUGUAGAAUUUAGAAAUAAUAAACUUCUUUUCACCGUU